UGCCCCGUCGUCUAAUGGUAGGACAGCGGAUUCUGAUUCCGUCAGUGGGGGUUCGAGUCCUCCCGGGGCAUCCA
rnacentral:tRNA from 3 species